rnacentral:tRNA from 1 species
GCGGGGAUGGCGGAACUGGCAGACGCACUUGAUUUAGGCUCAAGAAAUUGAGGGUUCGACUCCUUCUCUCCGUACGA